rnacentral:pre_miRNA from 1 species
AUAGACUCUAUUUUUCAGUUUUUAGAUACAACAUUUGACUCUUCGUCUUAUUUAAAACUUUUCUAUGAUUAAUAAUAAUAAUAAUAUUAUUAUUAGAUAAUAGAACAUGAAAAGGACUUUAUGGGUGACUAAUAUUUUUAAUUUUUUUAUAUUUUUUUCAAAUAAGACGGGUGGUAAAUGUUGGACAAAAAAACCCAAAAAUGAAAUCUCU